rnacentral:rRNA from 1 species
AUCGAACGCUGGCGGCAGGCUUAACACAUGCAAGUCGAGCGGAGAGAGGUAGCUUGCUACUGACCUUAGCGGCGGACGGGUGAGUAAUGCUUAGGAAUCUGCCUAUUAGUGGGGGACAACAUUUCGAAAGGAAUGCUAAUACCGCAUACGUCCUACGGGAGAAAGCAGGGGAUCUUCGGACCUUGUGCUAAUAGAUGAGCCUAAGUCGGAUUAGCUAGUUGGUGGGGUAAAGGCCUACCAAGGCGACGAUCUGUAGCGGGUCUGAGAGGAUGAUCCGCCACACUGGGACUGAGACACGGCCCAGACUCCUACGGGAGGCAGCAGUGGGGAAUAUUGGACAAUGGGCGCAAGCCUGAUCCAGCCAUGCCGCGUGUGUGAAGAAGGCCUUAUGGUUGUAAAGCACUUUAAGCGAGGAGGAGGCUACUUUAGUUAAUACCUAGAGAUAGUGGACGUUACUCGCAGAAUAAGCACCGGCUAACUCUGUGCCAGCCGCCGCGGUAAUAC